CAAUGUUAGAGUUUACAAUACUUCUUUUUGUGAUAGUGUAGAAACAGUGGGGCAAGAACUUAGGCAUAAUGUGUCCUAUAUUCCUCCCUAGCAGGUGACAUUUUUAUUUGUAGAAAGAAGUUAAGGAAUAGCAAUAUUGAGUUCCAGUGGGAGCCUUUCUGCAAGGCAGAGGAGGGCCUAAAGCUAAUCUCAGUGGACUUUGUGAAGGAUACUAGCCCUCCGACUUUUGAUUUGUCUUUCUGUUUUAGAGAAAUGAAUGAGUUAUGAAUCUUACUCCCCAAGUAGCUGCACAGAGUUCAAACCUAGACUUUUGUGCAGCAGGAAGGCAAGCACCGGACCUAUGUCCAACCAAUCACAAGCUCCCAGGGAGCCAUCCCUUUGGAAGAGAGGGAGCGUGGGAACAAACAGGCCUGAUGUCUGUCUUUUAUUUUUACUAUAAUGGAGUCUGGUGUUCUGUGGAAGCAGCAGCAGAAGUGGCAUAGAGCUGAUGGAAGGAGGGGUGGCAGGCCCUGCUAUAGAGAUUUAAGGCAGACCUUGCCAUUGACUGCUUGGCAGUGGUGAGGAUUUUCUUAUCCUGGUCUUGGACACUGCUACUGGAAGCCUAACGUUGAUCUAUGAAUCACCUAAAAUCUGUGAGCUAUCUAUACCUCUUGAUUAAAAUAGCCAGAGGUUUCUGUUUCUUGUCUAUUCCCCAGAGUGCUCCUGGCAUCCCUGGUGUACUGGCUUCUGAGAGCCAAUAGUUAAAUUUUUAGGAAUUUUAUGAGUCCAUUGAUAUUUCUGGUACAGCAGUUCCCUCAUCUCCAUGAUUUCACUUUCCUUGGUUUCAGUUACCUGGGGUUCAAAAAUACAAAAUGAAAAAUUCUAGAAAUAAACAAUUCAUAAGUUUAAAAUUGCCUGCUGUUCCACGUAGCAUGAUGAAAUCUGUGCCAGCCUUCUCCACCCAGACUUUGAUGUGAGUCAUCCCUUUGUCCAGUGUAUCUGCAUUGUAGAUGCUCCUUGUCCAUUAGUCACUUAGUGGCCUUUGCGGUUAUCAAAUCAAAAAGACACAGUAGAAUCAUGGGCCACAUAACGAAGUUUCAGUCAACAAUGGAACACAUAUAGGACAGUGGUCCCAUAAGGUUAUAAUACUGUAUUUUUACUGUAUCUUUUCUAUGUUUAGAUACACAAACACUGUAUCUUUUCUAUGUUUAGAUACACAAACACUUACCAUUGUGUUACAGUUGCCUGCAGUAUUCAGUACAGUAAAAUACUAUACAGAUUUGUAGCCUAGGAACAAUAUUCUGUACCAUAGAGCCCAGGUGUGUAGUAGGCUCUGCCAUCUAGGUUUGUGUAAGUACACUCUAUGAUGUUUGCACAAUGACAAAAUCACCAAAAAUUUAUUUCUCGGAACUUAUCCCUGUCCAGAAGCAACAUAUGACCGUAUACAUAGGGUUUGGUACUAUCUGCAGAUUCAGACAUCCACUAGAGGUCUUGGAUUGUAUCCCCUUUGGAUAAGGGGGGACUAAUGAAGCUUAAAAUCAGCUAUGGUUGGAGUAUUCACAUCCUAGAAAUGGGCAAAUUCUACACAUCAGGCCUCCCACACCUCCCAGUCCAUUGUUAAUUUACCAGCACAUUACUGUCCUGAUAUCUUAUAAUUUUGAGCUUUUUGCUACAGACUUUUAAUGAAAUGUUCUGCUAAGCCUCAUUCAAUAUUGAUAACAUUUGCUAAGAUUUUUACUAUGAAUUAAUCUCAAAUAAAAAAAUAUAAUUUGUAAGAACCUUGCUAGUGUUAUUUGCUAAUCCCUUCAACUGUUGAGACCCCUUCAACUGUUCUCCUAUCUGAUCCAGAAGAAAUGUCACUUUCUCUGGGCCUUAACUGACCCCUCCAUCCAGAAUCAAUUACUCCAUCUUCUGAGCCAUCCCCAGUACUAGGUGCAUCAAUGCACUUGCCUCAUUAUUGUUCUUAGAAAAACAUUUACAGAAUGCUUAUACACAUUAGGCUCUAUUCUAGUGCUUUAGAUAUAGUAAGCAAUUACUGAAACCUCAUAACCAUCCAAUGAGGUAGGUACAUUUGUAUGUUGCUGAAUUGGGCCAUAGUUCCUCAGUUUCUAUUUAGAAAAUAAGGUCUCAGUUUCAGCUGAUUUUAGUGCUAAAGUUUUAGAGCUGGGGCUGUGAUUUAGGGAGGAGUGGGGACAACAAAGAACAGAGAGGGAAAGCCAUUUGAUAACAAAGAGAUCCUCACUUCAAGGAUAACCAGUUCCUCUCUACUACAGGAGAUAUCUUCUGGAACAUUAAGGUGUGAAGAGGGGAGACUAAGAUAAGACUUAAAAAGAGUAGGCU
rnacentral:lncRNA from 10 species